UUCCCAGACCAUGAAGUACUGCAGCUCAUUAACAACUACCAUGGGCUUCCUCUACUGAGUAGCUCAAAUCCACCUGAGUCAUCUGAACACAGCCUUUACUGGAAGAAGAGAAGACUAAAACAGUAUCUCACCUUUUUAAGCACAGGAGUUUCCAUUAAUCUAAUGCUGGUUCCUCACCGUGAUUGGGUGAAAAGACAUCAUCGGCUGCAUUGAGGCACAGCAUUGGCACCUGGACGGACUUCAGCUUGUGGAUGGGGCUGGCGUCGCGGUAAUAAUCGUCAU